rnacentral:sRNA from 1 species
GUAUAUUGAUCCUUUUAUCCCUAGAAAUGUGUCUCUUUUUGUACUGAUAAAUUCCCUUGCUUUUUAUUCCACUUUAUUUAAUAUUGAUAUGUUAUUCCAGUUUUCUUUUGAUUAUUUUGAGUGUAGCAUAUCUUUUAUCAUUCUUUUAAUUUUAUCAUAUUUAGAGUGAGUUUCUUAUAUAGCAUAUAGAGAGCAUAUACUUCUAUCUUGAUUUUUUUUUUUUUAAAUCUAUUUUGGCACUAUCUUACAACUGGAGUGUUUAGACCGUUUAUAUUUAAGGUAAAUAUAUGUUCAGAUUUAGUUUUAUCAUUUUAUUUCUUUUUUGUUUAUGCCUUAUGAUAUUUUCCUUAAUCUAUUUCCCUUUUGCUGCCUUCUUUUGGAUGAAUUGAUAAUUUUCUAGACAUAUAUUUUAAUUUGUCUACUGGGUUUUUUAUUAUGUAUCUUCAUAUACCUUUUUUAAAAAAUUGGUUGCACAUGUCUGUGUUAUUAAGAAGCUAUAGUAGCUCAAGUUAUAUUCCUAAUUUCUAAAUGUUUUCUGAAGAAAACAUUGUGAAGGAAAAAAUAGUGUGGAUGCUCAUAACACCUCCCCUGGCACCACUGUCAUAAAUUGAAUAUUGCUUGCAGUGUCUUGGAUUCAGUGUCAAUUGAAUAUUGGGUUGCCUGGCCCAUGGGUCCAAUCACCAGAAUGGUUUUUUUCACCUUUGUUCUUAUAAAAUGAGAAAGAAGUUUAAUAAAUGAACCAAAACUGAGAUUUUGUUUGGUAGAACUCUUUCCCUUCCCUUCUCUUGUUCUAAUGACUACAGUGUCUUUUUCAAGAGAAUAUAGCAGUUACAAACUACUCCUGGCCAGCUUCCAGUUAGGAAAUUCAAUUUUUAUCUUUUUAUAUAACCUGAGAAAAUCUCCCUCUAAUUAUCAUUUAGAAACUUACAUUGCCUUGAUAACCACAAUGGUUGCAUGUAGACUUCUAUUAUUACUUUUUACUUUUGUCUACAUUUACUUUCAGUGAAGCUAAAUAUAAAACUACAUCGCUUGACCAAUGAAAAAAUGUGUUUGAUUGUUUAUGUUAUAUAGAGUCAACCAGUUAAGCAGUAUAUAUCAAGACAUGAUGGUUUUUGAGAUCAUUUAACAUUGUAAAUUAUCAUUAGAACCUCACAAUCUUGGUUGAAUCUUUGGUUUUUAUCUGUUUAAGACUUGGUUGAACUGAGUUGCUAUGGACUGUUCAUGACCCCCUGCAAAAUUAGCAUGUUGAGUUCCUAAUCCCCAGUGUGAUGAUGUGAUGAUAUUUGGAGGGUGGGGCCUUUGGGAGGUGACUAGGUGGAGCCCUCAUGACCCUUCCCCUUCUAUCAUGUGAGGACACAGCGAGAAAAGAACAGUCUACGCAUCAGGAAUUGAGGCCCACACCAGACCCUGAAUGUGAUAGUGCCUUGGUCUUGAUCUCUCAAUCUCUACAAUUGUGAGAAAUAAAUCUGUCAAGUCACUCUGUCUAUGGUAUUUUUGUUGUAGCAGCCUGAUGUGACUAAGAACAUACAGAUGUAGUAGUACAUAUAUGGAUUCUGUCAUAUAUGAAAAUGGAUAUUGUGUCAUUAAGAUACAAAAUAAGCAUUCUGGUAAAAAAAAUUAUCUCUUUCAUGGAACAGAAAUAGAAGUUCUAAGAUUACUAGUUACCUGAAAAUGUAGUAAUGAACUGUGAAAAACUGUUGAAGAAGCCGAGCAUUUAAUGUGGCUUCCAGAGUUAUAUGAAAAUGCUAGAUGCAUUAAAACAUAUACUAGGACAAUUCAGCCUAAAAUAGAUUAUUCUAUAAAUAGCCAAGUUUAAAAAAAAUGGUUGCACACUUAUCCAUAUUUAUACAUACACUUAAUUUUUUUACAGUCUACUUAGAACUAGUUUUUUACCACUUCAAGUGGAACACAGAAGCAUCACCACCGUAGAAGUUCCUUUACCUAAUCUGGGUUGUAUUUGAUAUAUGUAAAUUACAUCCAUAUACGUUGAAAACCUCUCCAGACUCUCAUAAUUUUUGCUUUUAAAAGUCAUACAUAUUAUAAAGAGGUUAAGAGGAAAAAAGUAGUCUAUUAUUUACUAUUUCUAUUCAUUCUUCUUGCAUUCUAGUGGUUCCAUCUUUCCUCUGGUAACACUUUGUCUACAGAACUUCCUUUACCACUAUUUUAUAGCAGGUCUGCUGCUAAUGGAUUCACUUGGUUGUGUUUCAUAUGAGAAUGUCUUUAUUUCGUCUUCAUUUCUGAAGGACACCUUCACUGGAUAUAGAAUUUUAAAUACAGAAAUCAGUUCUUUCACUGCUUUAAAAAUAUUGUUCCGCUGCCUUAUGGCAUCCAUAGUUUCUCAUGAGAUACCAGUAAUCAUUUGAAUUAUCAUUCCCCAAUUGUGGCGUGUGUUUUUCUUUGGCUGUUUUUGUGGGAUAUUUUUUGUCUUUGGAUUUUAUCUGUUUAAGACGUAUCUAGACCUGGUUUUUGCUGUUUUUCGUGUUUUGGAUUGGUUGAACUUCUUGAAUCUACAAGUCUGACUCUUGAAAAAUUUGAGAAGUUUUCAACUAGUGUUUCUUCAAUUUUUUUUUUGUAGUAUUCUUUUUCCUCUUUCUCUGACAUGCAGUGACUCAAACACUAGAGCUUUUGUUAAUCUUCCGCAGUUCUGGAGGUCCUCUGUUUUUUCCCCAAAGCUUUUUCCUCUUGGUUGUUUAUAGUAUUCUGUUGAUCUGUCUUCAAGUUCACAGUCUCUUUUCCUUUGGUUAUCCCCAUUCUCCCAUACAGUUCGUCCAGUAAAUUUUUUGUUCUGGAUAUUUUAUUUUUCAGCAAUAAAUUUUCCUUUCGUUUCUUUAUAUCUUACGUUUCUUUGCUGAGACUUCUUCUGUUUUUCCAUGUUUCAAGAUUGUUUGCUCUACUUUUUUGAAACCUUUGUAAUAGUUGUUUUAGAGUUUUCAUCUGAUCAUCCCAAAUCUGAGCUGUAUCAGUGUUGGUGUCUUUUUAUUGUCUUUUGUCUUGCGAGUUGUUGAGAUUUUCCUGGUUCUUUGUAUGACAAGUAAUUUUGAAUGAUAUCCUAGAUAUUUUCACUAUUACUUUAUUGACUCUGGGUCCUGUUUAUAACCUAUAUUGAACAUUAAUUUUUUUUUUCAAUUUUAACAGCCAUUUGAUACAGUUAGGUUCAUUUUCCAGCUUCUGCGUGAGUCCCUUCCUAAUCUUCUGGCUGGGGGCUUAGGUCUGCCUAUUCUGCUCUUCUCCAGGGCCAAGUGUGGGGAGGAUAAAGAGAAAAAAGUAACAGAAAUUUCAGACCCCUCUCACUCUAGACUACAGUUCGUCUGGUCAUAAACGAGGAUUUCCAUCAGAGUUUUGGCAUCUCUUCAGCUGCUACUGCCAUCAUUGCUGCACCCAUAGGAUUGUGUCUUAGGGAUUUGGACUUGCUUGGGGUCUAGGGCAGGAGAGAAAAUAAAUAUACAAAAGAAACCAGGGAGUUUUCUUCUACUGUUUUAGUUUCAUCUCCUAUCACCCCUCCCUGCUUUUGUUCCUUGGGCCAGAAAGGACCUCUCUUGGAGCUCCUUCUGUCUGCACUCAGUUUGUACUUUGGGAAUUGAAGAAUUGGGUAGGAGCUGAGCAUGGGCUGGAAAAGAGGGCAGGAGUAGACCUAUCACUGGAUUGGUCAUACCUUGAAUUGUAGUUUAUUUCCAUUUACUUUUCAGAGUCUUGAUUUGUGCAUUCUGUUCAGAUUUUUAGAUGAAUUCAGUGGGAGACGGGGGAGUUAGCUUACUGCAUCUGAACCAGAAAACUUCCUUAAAAUGUUUUUGAGUGUUUAAAAUUGUAUCUCAUUUAUUUUCCAAAUUUUGAUUAAUUAAUAUAUUAUUUACUUAAAGAAUCACGAAAGGAUUUAAAAGAAUUAUAGAAUCCAGGAUUUGAAAUUACCUUAGAAGUCAUUUAAGCCAUUUACUUUUGACGAAUUCUCUUCACCUCAAACAAUAGCUAAUAAUAGCUAAGAUUGACUACGUACCUGCCAGUGUAUUAAGCUCAUGGUCUACAUUAAUUCAUUUAAUUCUCACAAAAAUCCUAUCAAGUUUUUAGCUCCAUUUUACUGAUGAGAAAACUAAAGUUUAGAAAGCCUUCUCAAGAUGUGGUCCUUGGACCAGUCAUAUUGCCAUUACUUUGAGAGCCUAUGAGGAAUGCAGAAUCUUGGGUUUCAACACAGAUCCUUAGAACCAUAAUCUACAUUUGGACAAGAUCCCCAAGGUGAUUCAUUUGCACAUUAACUUUUUCAAUGCACUGGUUUAAAUAAAUUAUAAAUAAUUUGAUGAAGGUCACCUAGCGUGCAAGUUACCUUUAGGAUCAAGAGAGUAAGCAGUUUACCUUCAGCUGGAGAAUGCUCUAACGUAGCCAGUUGCUAGAAUUAAACUGUACCUUAUGCAGUUUGAAUUUUCUUUGUUUCUUGAAGAAGUUAGGGCACAAAUAAGCUAUUUAUUCUGUUAUCUGUACUUUUCAAAUACUAUUUAUGCAGAGUCAAGUAUCCUUAGGGAAAUGCCUGUCUACACUGAAAAGGACUUAGAGGCUAAUUAUCCUAUCAUCUGGUAUAUCAAGAGAGAUGAAGAGGAAACAUGGCAGUCUUUGAAAUAACAUUAAGCUAAUCGAAAUUUAGCAUUUAUUCAGAUUGCUUCCCUUAAAUACCUUCCCCACAAAGAAGCCAGAGUGUCAUUUUAAAGAAUAAAUCAGAUCGUGUUAUAGCUUUGUGUAAAAUGCUCCACCAGCUUCCUGUUGCACUUAAAUUCAGACACCUUGCCAUAGUUUAGAUGACUACUUCUUUUUUUAGCUUUAUCUUAAACCAGAGCUCCAGCUCUUUCCAUAUACUUCAACCAUAUUGACCUUUCAUCUGUUUCUUGAGCAUGACAAGCUCUUUCCCAUUCACAUUUGCACUACCUCCUCCUUUCGUUUGGAUUGAUCUCCAUGAAGCUUUUCUUACAUCGGCCUGCAGUUCAAAUGUUACCUCCUCAGAGAGGCCUUCCCUAAUUUACCAUGUUGGAAAUACCCUUUCACAAACACGUACCUGGUCAUACUGCAUAAUUUGACAUUCUUAUAUAGUAUUCAUAGCAUUUUUCAGUACCAGAAAGUAUUUUAUUUAUGUAAUUUGUUACUUCUCUCGCAUACCACCCUCAGGAGAACGUAAAGGUCCAUGAGGGUCAGUAUCUCAUCGGUUUGCUGUAAUAUACCCAAAACCUAGGUUUUUGUGAACAUCAAAUUAGUGUAUUCAUAUAAGACUCUGAGAAUUGGUCAGGCAUAUUGUACACACUUGUCAGCUGCUGCUAUUGUUGUUAGUACAAGUGAUGAUAGUGAUAAUAUAUUUAGGCAUUUGUGAAACUCGGUGGAAUAAUGUUAUUUUGAAUAGAUUCAAGGUAAUAUCUAAUUAUAAGAACUGAGUACUGUAGUUAAGCAUUUCUAUUUUUAUAGGAUUGAAAAAGUGAAAACAGUCUCAAUAAUAGUUCUUUGAUUGGAAGUGUUUUCCCCAUGUUUUUCUCUGAAGAGUUUAGGCAGUUGUGAUCAGACCAUCAGGAUAUAGAAAUGAGGAUCCUCAGAAACAUAUCCAUCUCCUAAAAUUAUGAACCAGUUGGGGCAUGGAGUUUUUGAAGUUACUGUUGAAUUUUUCGGCUAAAAGCCCCUUUUGCUGGAAAUGAUUUCUCCUAAAUAUUAGAUUCAAACUACUUUUCUCCCUAAUCUAGACAUUAUGCAAAAUCAGGCAUCAUAGUAUGUUCAGAGUGAUAUUCAGUGUUGUAUGCUUCACUGUAUGGCAUUUUUAUUGGUACAGUCAUUGAAAUAAAUGUAUGUUUGUAUAGCAUUCUGUAUACCAUGAGUUACUCUGCCUUUUGUCUCUGUGUCUAUAGGUAACAGUUAACCUCUUCCACAUGCAGCAUCUGCAGGCUGCUUCCCUUGCAGACAGUUUACAGUCUCUCUGUGAUAGUGCCAAACUCUAUGACCCAGGCCAAGAGUACAGUGAAUUUGUCAAGGCCACAAAUUCAACUGAAGAAGAAAAAGUUGAUGGAAAUGUAAAUAAACAUUUAAAUAGUUCCCAACCUUCAGGAUUUGGACCUGCCAACUCUUUAGAGGAUGUUGUACGCCUUCCUGACAGUUCUAAUAAAAUUGAAGAGGACAGAUGCUCUAACAGUGCAGAUAUAACAGGUCCUUCCUUUAUAAGAUCAUGGACAUUUGGGAUGUUUAGUGACUCUGAGAGUACUGGAGGGAGCAGCGAAUCUAGAUCUCUGGAUUCAGAAUCUAUAAGUCCAGGAGACUUUCAUCGAAAACUUCCACGAACACCAUCCAGUGGAACUAUGUCCUCUGCAGAUGAUCUAGAUGAAAGAGAGCCACCUUCCCCUUCAGAAACUGGACCCAACUCCCUUGGAACAUUUAAGAAAACAUUGAUGUCAAAGGCAGCUCUCACACACAAGUUUCGCAAAUUGAGAUCCCCCACGAAAUGUAGGGAUUGUGAAGGCAUUGUAGUGUUCCAAGGUGUUGAAUGUGAAGAGUGUCUCCUUGUUUGUCAUCGAAAGUGUUUGGAAAAUUUAGUCAUUAUUUGUGGUCAUCAGAAACUUACAGGAAAAAUACAUUUAUUUGGAGCAGAAUUCACACAAGUUGCAAAAAAGGAACCAGAUGGUAUCCCUUUUAUACUCAAAAUAUGUGCCUCAGAGAUUGAAAAUAGAGCUUUGUGUCUACAGGGAAUUUAUCGUGUGUGUGGAAACAAAAUAAAAACUGAAAAACUGUGUCAAGCUUUGGAAAAUGGAAUGCACUUGGUAGACAUUUCAGAAUUUAGUUCACAUGAUAUCUGUGACGUCUUGAAAUUAUACCUUCGGCAGCUCCCAGAACCAUUUAUUUUAUUUCGAUUGUACAAGGAAUUUAUAGACCUUGCAAAAGAGAUCCAACAUGUAAAUGAAGAACAAGAGACAAAAAAGGAUAGUCUUGAAGACAAAAAAUGGCCAAAUAUGUGUAUAGAAAUAAACCGAAUUCUUAUAAAAAGCAAAGACCUUCUAAGACAAUUGCCAGCAUCAAAUUUUAACAGUCUUCAUUUCCUUAUAGUACAUCUAAAGCGGGUAGUAGAUCAUGCAGAAGAAAACAAGAUGAACUCCAAAAACUUGGGGGUGAUAUUUGGACCAAGUCUCAUUAGGCCAAGGCCCACAACUGCUCCUAUCACCAUCUCCUCCCUUGCAGAGUAUUCAAAUCAAGCACGCUUGGUAGAGUUCCUCAUUACUUAUUCACAGAAGAUCUUUGAUGGGUCCCUACAACCACAAGAUGUUAUGUGUAGCAUAGGUGGUGUUUCACCUCAGGUUGAUCAAGGCGGUUUUCCAAAGCCUCUGUUAUCACCAGAAGAAAGAGACAUUGAACGUUCCAUGAAGUCACUAUUUUUUUCUUCAAAGGAAGAUAUCCAUACUUCAGAGAGUGAAAGCAAAAUUUUUGAACGAGCUACAUCAUUUGAGGAAUCAGAACGCAAGCAAAAUGCGUUAGAAAAAUGUGAUGCAUGUCUCAGUGGUGAGUAGCCAUGUAAAAAAAAGGUAGAAAUGUGUUGAGCAAUGUGAUAUUUGUUAGCAGCUUCCAGUUCCACAGUUCAGUGUAUUGAACUAACUGCUCAUACGGAGUCAAACUAUACUCCUGAAAUUCAAAAACUUUAGAGUCCUACUUUUUUUUUUGACAUGCUUUUUACCUGUGGCCUACAUUUAACCCAUUAAACACAGAGAUGUGUAUGUCUUUUUUAUUUCCUUGACUACGGUCAUUUUGUUCACUUAUUUUCUCUUUAUAAUAUUAGUUGCUGUCAUUGCUAGUUGUUAAGCUGGUGGAAAAGCUUCCAUUUGUAUUGUCAUUUCUACAUUGUUAUAAGCUAUAUUCCAGUUUUUUACAUUGCAGCCAUAUAUGUUAAAUUUAAUGUGUAAUCAAGUAUCAGUGAUCAUAGGGUCUAAAAAGGAAAGGAAGGCCGGGCAUGGUGGCUCACGCCUGUAAUCCCAGCACUUUGGGAGGCCAAGGCGGGUGGAUCACCUGAGGUCAGGAGUUUGAGACCAGCUUGGCCAACAUGGUGAAACCCCGUCUACUAAAAGUACAAAAAAUUAGCCAGGCGUGGUGGUGGGCGCCUGUAAUCCCAGCUACUCGGGAGGCUGAGGCAGGAGAAUCACUUGAACCCGAGAGGCAGAGGUUGCAGUGAGCCGAGAAUGUGCCAUUGCACUCCAGCCAGGGUGACAAGUGAAACUCCAUCUCAAAAAAAAAAAAA